rnacentral:rRNA from 1 species
UACACGCUGUGACUAGCAUAUCAAUAAGCGGAGGAAAAGAAACUAACAAGGAUUCCCCUAGUAACGGCGAGUGAAGCGGGAAGAGCUCAAAUUUGAAAUCUUAAAGGGUUUCCCUUUACGAAUUGUAGUUUAAAGAAGUGUUUUCUGUUGAGGUUUUGGUAAAAGUUCUUUGGAAUAGGACAUCAUAGAGGGUGAGAAUCCCGUAUUUGACCUCUACUUUCAACUUUGUGAUACACUUUCAAAGAGUCGGAUUGUUUGGGAAUGCAGUCCAAAAUGGGUGGUAAAUUUCAUCUAAAGCUAAAUAUUGGCGAGAGACCGAUAGCGAACAAGUACCGCUGAGGGAAAGAUGAAAAGAACUUUGAAAAGAGAGUUAAACAGUACGUGAAAUUGUCAAAAGGGAAGCGUUUGACACCAGUGUUGUUUUUCUGAAAAUCAAUUAAAGAACUGUUUAUGCUAAGUUGUUUAGACUUUAUCAGCUACUGUUUAGUUUUGAGCUUUUCUUUAAUGCACUUUUCAGUUAACAAGUCAACAUCAAUUUCUUUUGCUGUAAAAAAGCUUGAGGAAGGUGGCUUGAGAUUCGUCUUAAGUGUUUAUAGCCUCUUGCCUAUGCAGUCGGAGAGAUUGAGGUCUGCAGCGUAGAUCCUUCGGGGCUAAAUGCAUUUGUGCUAAGUUAUAGCAUUUUAUAGACAACUUGUUGACUAUGAUUUGUCUUGUAGCUUACUCGCUUAUGUUAUUUUACCUACGCUUAGGAUGUUGAGUCGUAGAGCACGCAG